rnacentral:rRNA from 1 species
UACAGAGGUCCCAAGCGUUGUUCGGAUUCACUGGGCGUAAAGGGUGCGUAGGCGGCGCGGUAAGUCGGGUGUGAAAUCUCGGGGCUUAACUCCGAAACUGCAUUCGAUACUGCCGUGCUUGAGGACUGGAGAGGAGACUGGAAUUUACGGUGUAGCGGUGAAAUGCGUAGAUAUCGUAAGGAAGACCAGUGGCGAAGGCGGGUCUCUGGACAGUUCCUGACGCUGAGGCACGAAGGUCAGGGGAGCAAACGGG